rnacentral:lncRNA from 1 species
UGAACGUAGGUAGACGAGGAAUCACACUUAGCCUCAGUCGCAGAAAGGCGAGCAAAAGGAGGGGGCAAGUAUUCAAACAAAUCCUCACCCACGGACGAACGUGGGUAGACGAGGAAAUACACUCAGCCCCUAUCGCAGAAAGGCGGAAAAAAGGAGGGGGUCGGGUAUUCUCAAAACCCGCCACAGGGAAGAGAACCCAAGCAGUGCUCAAGGACAGUUCAGGCAAGGCGUCAAGGUGGGCAAGCAGGGUUCCGCGGGAGAGUCGGGCCGGACAGGUGUGCAAGGAGUAGGCUUCGGCUAGGACAAACCGGAC